UACGAAGGGGGCUAGCGUUGCUCGGAAUCACUGGGCGUAAAGGGUGCGUAGGCGGCGGGGCAAGUCUGAUGUGAAAUCCCGGGGCUCAACCCUGGAACUGCAUUGGAUACUGCCUUGCUAGAGUACUGGAGAGGAAACUGGAAUUUACGGUGUAGCAGUGAAAUGCGUAGAGAUCGUAAGGAAGACCAGUGGCGAAGGCGAGUUUCUGGACAGUUGCUGACACUGAGGCACGAAGGCUAGGGGAGCAAACGGG
rnacentral:rRNA from 1 species